rnacentral:rRNA from 1 species
GAGCGGUGGAAUGCGCAGAUAUCAGGAGGAACACCAGUGGCGAAGGCGGUUCUCUGGGCCUUUCCUGACGCUGAGGAGCGAAAGCGUGGGGAGCGAACAGGCUUAGAUACCCUGGUAGUCCACGCUGUAAACGGUGGGUACUAGGUGUGGGGUCCAUUCCACGGGUUCCGUGCCGUAGCUAACGCUUUAAGUACCCCGCCUGGGGAGUACGGCCGCAAGGCUAAAACUCAAAGGAAUUGACGGGGCCCCGCACAAGCGGCGGAGCAUGCGGAUUAAUUCGAUGCAACGCGUAGAACCUUACCUGGGUUUGACAUGGAUCGGGAGUGCUCAGAGAUGGGUGUGCCUCUUUUGGGGUCGGUUCACAGGUGGUGCAUGGCUGUCGUCAGCUCGUGUCGUGAGAUGUUGGGUUAAGUCCCGCAACGAGCGCAACCCUUGUUCACUGUUGCCAGCACGUUAUGGUGGGGACUCAGUGGAGACCGCCGGGGUCAACUCGGAGGAAGGUGGGGAUGACGUCAAGUCAUCAUGCCCCUUAUGUCCAGGGCCUCACGCAUGCUACAAUGGCUGGUACAGAGAGUGGCGAGCCUGUGAGGGUGAGCGAAUCUCGGAAAGCCGGUCUCAGUUCGGAUUGGGGUCUGCAACUCGACCUCAUGAAGUCGGAGUCGCUAGUAAUCGCAGAUCAGCAACGCUGCGGUGAAUACGUUCCCGGGGCUUGUACACACCGCCCGU